UACGGAAGGGGCUAGCGUUGUUCGGAAUUACUGGGCGUAAAGCGCGCGUAGGCGGCCAUGCAAGUGAGGCGUGAAAGGCCUGGGCUCAACCUGGGAACUGCGCUUCAGCCUGCACGGCUUGAGUCCGGGAGAGGGUGGUGGAAUUCCCAGUGUAGAGGUGAAAUUCGUAGAUAUUGGGAGGAACACCAGUGGCGAAGGCGGCCCCCUGGCCCGGUACUGACGCUCAAGUGCGAAAGCGUGGGGAGCAAACAGG
rnacentral:rRNA from 1 species